UUGAGAGCUUGCUUUUGAUUAUUUUAGCGGCGGACGGGUGAGUAACGUGUGGGUAACCUGCCUUUUACUGUGGAAUAAUCGUUGGAAACGACGACUAAUACCGCAUACGGUUCUUGGAAGGCAUCUUCUAAGAAAGAAAGGAUUUAUUCGGUAAAAGAUGGGCCCGCAUCUGAUUAGCUAGUUGGUGAGAUAAUAGCCCACCAAGGCAACGAUCAGUAGCCGACCUGAGAGGGUGACCGGCCACAUUGGGACUGAGACACGGCCCAAACUCCUACGGGAGGCAGCAGUGGGGAAUAUUGCACAAUGGGCGAAAGCCUGAUGCAGCAACGCCGCGUGAAGGAAGACGGUUUUCGGAUUGUAAACUUCUAUCAAUAGGGAAGAAAGAAAUGACGGUACCUAAAUAAGAAGCCCCGGCUAACUACGUGCCAGCAGCCGCGGUAAUACGUAGGGGGCAAGCGUUAUCCGGAAUUACUGGGUGUAAAGGGAGAGUAGGCGGCAAGGUAAGCGAUAUGUGAAAGCCUUAGGCUUAACCAAAGGAUUGCAUAACGAACUAUCUAGCUAGAGUACAGGAGAGGAAAGCGGAAUUCCUAGUGUAGCGGUGAAAUGCGUAGAUAUUAGGAAGAACACCAGUGGCGAAGGCGGCUUUCUGGACUGAAACUGACGCUGAGGCUCGAAAGCGUGGGGAGCGAACAGGAUUAGAUACCCUGGUAGUCCACGCUGUAAACGAUGAGUGCUAGGUGUCGGGGAGGAAUUCCCGGUGCCGGAGCAAACGCAAUAAGCACUCCACCUGGGGAGUACGACCGCAAGGUUGAAACUCAAAGGAAUUGACGGGGGCCCGCACAAGCGGUGGAGCAUGUGGUUUAAUUCGAAAGCACGCGAAGAACCUUACCAAGGCUUGACAUACCUU
rnacentral:rRNA from 1 species